UUUCCGUAGGUGAACCUGCUGAAGGAUCAUUCAUAAUAAAGUGUUUUAUGGCACUUUUUAAAAAUCCAUAUCCACCUUGUGUGCAAUGUUAGAUCUCGUCAAUCUUGGCGAGAUUUUUAUACAUCAACUCAUUCUUUAACUAAUUUGUCUGAAAAAUAUUAUGAAUACUUAAUUCAAAAUACAACUUUCAACAACGGAUCUCUUGGCUCUA
rnacentral:misc_RNA from 1 species